rnacentral:rRNA from 1 species
CGCUCAGGACGAACGCUGGCGGCGUGCCUAACACAUGCAAGUCGAGCGAUGAAACCCCUUCGGGGGUGGAUUAGCGGCGGACGGGUGAGUAACACGUGGGUAACCUGCCUCAAAGUGGGGGAUAGCCUUCCGAAAGGAAGAUUAAUACCGCAUAAAGCCAAGUUUCACAUGGAAUUUGGAUGAAAGGAGUAAUUCGCUUUGAGAUGGACCCGCGGCGCAUUAGUUAGUUGGUGGGGUAAUGGCCUACCAAGACAGCGAUGCGUAGCCGACCUGAGAGGGUGAUCGGCCACAUUGGAACUGAGAUACGGUCCAGACUCCUACGGGAGGCAGCAGUGGGGAAUAUUGCACAAUGGGCGAAAGCCUGAUGCAGCAACGCCGCGUGAGUGAUGAAGGUCUUCGGAUUGUAAAGCUCUGUCUUUUGGGACGAUAAUGACGGUACCAAAGGAGGAAGCCACGGCUAACUACGUGCCAGCAGCCGCGGUAAUACGUAGGUGGCGAGCGUUGUCCGGAUUUACUGGGCGUAAAGGGUGCGUAGGCGGAUGUUUAAGUGAGAUGUGAAAUACCCGGGCUUAACUUGGGUGCUGCAUUUCAAACUGGAUAUCUAGAGUGCAGGAGAGGAGAAUGGAAUUCCUAGUGUAGCGGUGAAAUGCGUAGAGAUUAGGAAGAACACUCAGUGGCGAAGGCGAUUCUCUGGACUGUAACUGACGCU